rnacentral:rRNA from 1 species
UACGUAGGUGGCAAGCGUUAUCCGGAAUUAUUGGGCGUAAAGAGCGCGCAGGUGGUUGAUUAAGUCUGAUGUGAAAGCCUACGGCUUAACCGUGGAGGGUCAUUGGAAACUGGUCGACUUGAGUGCAGAAGAGGGAAGUGGAAUUCCAUGUGUAGCGGUGAAAUGCGUAGAGAUAUGGAGGAACACCAGUGGCGAAGGCGGCUUCCUGGUCUGUAACUGACACUGAGGCGCGAAAGCGUGGGGAGCAAACAGGAUUAGAUACCCCCGUAGU